rnacentral:rRNA from 1 species
CAGCCGCCGCGGUAAUACGUAGGUGGCAAGCGUUGUCCGGAAUUAUUGGGCGUAAAGGGCUCGCAGGCGGUCUCUUAGGUCUGAUGUGAAAGCCCCCGGCUCAACCGGGGAGGGUCAUUGGAAACUGGGAAACUUGAGUGCAGAAGAGGAGAGUGGAAUUCCACGUGUAGCGGUGAAAUGCGUAGAGAUGUGGAGGAACACCAGUGGCGAAGGCGACUCUCUGGUCUGUAACUGACGCUGAGGAGCGAAAGCGUGGGGAGCGAACAGGAUUAGAUACCCCCGUAGUCCCUGUCUCUUAUAC